GACGUCGAUAUUCGACGUCAUAAACACGAUCAACUUUGGUGUUUAUGACGUCGAUAUUCGACGUCAUAAACACGAUCAACUUUGUUGUUUAUGACGUCGGUAUUCGACGUCAUAAACACGAUCAACUUUGGUGUUUAUGACGUCGAUAUUCGACGUC